CGUCCCUCCGCAGGGCGCAGGCAGCAAACUUUGGCGGCGUCCGCGCGGCGCCGUCUCCGCCGGCGCGCCGGGCUCGCCCCUUUAUAGAGUGUCUGCGCCGCCGCCCGCGCCCCCCCCGCCGCCGCCGCCGGGCGGCCCCUCCCGGAGCGAGCGGCCGCGGGCAGGGCUCCGACCCGGCGCCUUUGUCUCGCCCGGGCCGCUCGGGCGCCGCGCCUCCUGUUCCGGGCGCGCGGGGUCGGCCGGCCGCCUUCGCUGCUCCGCCGCGGCUCUCAGCGCCGCUCAGCGCGGCGGGCCCGCCCGGGCUCAGGUGCCCCCCGCUCUCCGGACCUUCUCGCCCGGCCCCGCGUCCCCUCCGCGGGCUUCCCCCGGCGGCCGGCCGGGCUCGGAGGCUCGCGGCCGGAGCGGAGCGGAGUGCGCACGCCGGGGUGGCAGGACUUCGGCAAGACCAACUUUCCGGUUCGGAAGCGGCGCGGGCCGCGCGGCUCCUCCCCUCCUCUCCCUCCCCUGCGUUCCCCCUCCCUUCCACUCCCCCCUCUCCCCGCCCCCCAACCCGCGGGCCCCACCGACUCCGGAGCGCCCGCCCCGCCCGCUGCUGCCACCGGGCCGCCUCGCCCCCGCGCCAGCCCGCCUGGGCCUCUGCGCCGCCGGCGGCUUCUUAAAUACAGGAAAGGGAGGGGACCGCAGGGCCCCGGUGUUCCCCACCCUAGUCCCCCUUCACCACGGGCCACCGGGCGCCAGCGGAGUGGGCAGCGAGCGCGACCGAAAGUUCCAACUCCACCAAACUCCCGCGCGCGGCCCACCCUUUCCCGGGAUUUCGGGGAUGACACGGGGGCCAGUGGUCCUGUCUGGUGUGAACCGUCAGCACAGAUGGCCUCCUGGAGCUUCCCCGAGUCGUUCGCUGGGGGAAGCGGGCGGUGAGCGGCCAGCCCGGGCGCUCCGCAGGCCGCGAGCUCCCGGCAGGGCUGGUGGCGGGGGUCCGCCUGGGGGAGGAAUCCCCGCCUGCUCCAUCGGACCCGGCCUGGCGCGGCUCGCGGCGCUCGGCGGGCUCCCUUCCAUUCUAGAAUCUUCCCGCUUGCUUCCCAGCCCGCGUUCUUCCGCCUGCCUUUAAUUGUAAUUUACAGGAUUAAGGAGUUUGGGGAAGUCGCAGAGCUGCAGCGGAAAGGCAGGGGUCUGAGACUACUUUUGAGAAGAGAAACAACGCAAAACGAUCGCUGGAGGGCCAGAGCCCUGGUCGAAGAAGCAGACACAGGUUCCCACGGCGUCUGACGCCUGCGGAGCAAGUCCAGAGCCAGCUGGACUCGCAGCCUCUGGCCCGGCGGCACCAACUCCUCACUGGGUCAUUUUGAGCGCGCUGUGCCCACCUUUUCUGUUGCGUGUGGACGUGGGGAGGAUCUUCUAAGUCCCUCCAACGAAGGCAAGUGUGAGACUCUGGCCCUUUAUUUGUAAGAAGCAAGCCUUCAGAUUGCAGAAGUGUCGCGCGGGUCGCCGUGCGUUGCGCGAGUGGGAAGAUGGAGGAGGCCGGCACGCUGCUUUCGUGGACGCAAGUGAACCGGGCGUGAAGGCAGGGUGCGAGCUCUGCCCUUGGCCCAGCCCUGCGUGGGCGCCGUCCCAGAUUCCGGGCGGUGCGGGGUGCAGAGAUCUGGAGAGACUUGCGGGCUCCCCAGCGCAGGCUGCUCUGGGAUUUCGUUGGAAGAUCCGGCAGAGCCUUGGAGGAGAGGGCCCGGGAGGCUGUGUGUGCAGCGGAAACUUGUACGAAUGCCCCCACAGCGGAAAUGGUGCGCACGAGUAAUUUCUGCGGUGCACCCUUUUAAAAAUUGACAAGUGAACAAGAUCAAUUUUUUAAGAAAGCAAAGGUAGAAAACAAAAGGCGUGCGACUUCUUGACUGGCUUGUUCCCGCCUUUCUUCCUUCUCUAUACUCAGAUCAGAAACUUUUCUUUAAUUGCUCUUAUUCAGUGCGACAACUUUUAAUAAAAGCAUUUGCAUUUUAAGCCUGAGUUGCAACCAUAGAUUUAUUGCGAAGUGACAACGUGUCUAUGGAAUAUUUUCGCAGAUGAGACAGGACAUGCGCUCUAGUCGUGCCCAGAUUAAAGCGACGCUGGGCCAUGUGCCUGUGUAGUGCAGACUCGGAGGGGCACACACAUACUCGUCACCACAUGACCACUGUCUAUUAAUAUUGUCAUACCUAAACACUCGCAAAAACAAAAGUUGCUUUUCUUCCCUGUAAUUAAAUCUAAUUUG
rnacentral:lncRNA from 10 species